AGGGUUUGAUCAUGGCUCAGGAUGAACGCUGGCGGCGUGCUUAACACAUGCAAGUCGAACGAACCUUCGGGUUAGUGGCGGACGGGUGAGUAACGCGUGAGAAUCUGCCCUCAGGAGGGGGAUAACGGUUGGAAACGACCGCUAAUACCCCAUAUGCCUACUGGUGAAACGAAUUUCGCCUGAGGAUGAGCUCGCGUCUGAUUAGCUAGUUGGUGAGGUAAUGGCUCACCAAGGCUUCGAUCAGUAGCUGGUCUGAGAGGAUGAUCAGCCACACUGGGACUGAGACACGGCCCAGACUCCUACGGGAGGCAGCAGUGGGGAAUUUUCCGCAAUGGGCGAAAGCCUGACGGAGCAACGCCGCGUGAGGGACGAAGGCCUCUGGGCUGUAAACCUCUUUUCUCAAGGAAGAAGAUAUGACGGUACUUGAGGAAUAAGCCACGGCUAAUUCCGUGCCAGCAGCCGCGGUAAUACGGGAGUGGCAAGCGUUAUCCGGAAUUAUUGGGCGUAAAGCGUCCGCAGGCGGCUUUUCAAGUCUGCUGUUAAAACGUGGAGCUUAACUCCAUCAUGGCAGUGGAAACUGAAAGGCUUGAGUAUGGUAGGGGCAGAGGGAAUUCCCGGUGUAGCGGUGAAAUGCGUAGAUAUCGGGAAGAACACCAGUGGCGAAGGCGCUCUGCUGGGCCAUUACUGACGCUCAUGGACGAAAGCCAGGGGAGCGAAAGGGAUUAGAUACCCCUGUAGUCCUGGCCGUAAACGAUGAACACUAGGUGUCGGGGGAAUCGACCCCUUCGGUGUCGUAGCUAACGCGUUAAGUGUUCCGCCUGGGGAGUACGCACGCAAGUGUGAAACUCAAAGGAAUUGACGGGGGCCCGCACAAGCGGUGGAGUAUGUGGUUUAAUUCGAUGCAACGCGAAGAACCUUACCAGGGUUUGACAUCCUGCGAACCUCUUAGAAAUUUGAGGGUGCCUUCGGGAAUGCAGUGACAGGUGGUGCAUGGCUGUCGUCAGCUCGUGUCGUGAGAUGUUGGGUUAAGUCCCGCAACGAGCGCAACCCACGUUUUUAGUUGCCAGCAUUUAGUUGGGCACUCUAGAAAGACCGCCGGUGAUAAACCGGAGGAAGGUGUGGAUGACGUCAAGUCAUCAUGCCCCUUACACCCUGGGCUACACACGUACUACAAUGCUACGGACAAAGGGCAGCAAACUCGCGAGAGCUAGCAAAUCCCAUAAACCGUGGCUCAGUUCAGAUCGUAGGCUGCAACUCGCCUACGUGAAGUAGGAAUCGCUAGUAAUCGCAGGUCAGCAUACUGCGGUGAAUACGUUCCCGGGCCUUGUACACACCGCCCGUCACACCAUGGAAGUUGGCCAUGCCCGAAGUCGUUACUCCAACCCUUGUGGAGGAGGACGCCGAAGGUGGGGCUAAUGACUGGGGUGAAGUCAUAACAAGGUAGCCGUA
rnacentral:rRNA from 1 species